UACGAAGGGGGCUAGCGUUGCUCGGAAUCACUGGGCGUAAAGCGCACGUAGGCGGCUUGUUAAGUCAGGGGUGAAAUCCUGGAGCUCAACUCCAGAACUGCCUUUGAUACUGGCAAGCUUGGAGUCCGGGAGAGGUGAGUGGAACUGCGAGUGUAGAGGUGAAAUCGUAGAUAUUCGCAAGAACACCAGUGGCGAAGGCGGCUCACUGGCCCGGUACUGACGCUGAGGUGCGAAAGCGUGGGGAGCAAACAGGG
rnacentral:rRNA from 1 species